rnacentral:rRNA from 1 species
GAUGAACGCUAGCGGCAGGCCUAACACAUGCAAGUCGAGGGGCAUCACGAGGUAGCAAUACUUUGGUGGCGACCGGCGCACGGGUGCGUAACGCGUAUGUAACCUACCUAUAACAGGGGCAUAACACUGAGAAAUUGGUACUAAUUCCCCAUAAUAUUCGGAGAGGCAUCUCUCCGGGUUGAAAACUCCGGUGGUUAUAGAUGGACAUGCGUUGUAUUAGCUAGUUGGUGAGGUAACGGCUCACCAAGGCAACGAUACAUAGGGGGACUGAGAGGUUAACCACCCACACUGGUACUGAGACACGGACCAGACUCCUACGGGAGGCAGCAGUGAGGAAUAUUGGUCAAUGGACGCAAGUCUGAACCAGCCAUGCCGCGUGCAGGAAGACGGCUCUAUGAGUUGUAAACUGCUUUUGUACGAGGGUAAACUCACCUACGUGUAGGUGACUGAAAGUAUCGUACGAAUAAGGAUCGGCUAACUCCGUG